GUGACCUCAAAUCAGGAG
rnacentral:rRNA from 1 species